rnacentral:lncRNA from 1 species
GUUUAUCUCUGGUAUUUGAUGCGAUUGUUAUUGGUCGAUUUUUGUUUAUAUCUGUGUAAUGUAUAGUAUAUCAAUGUUAUUUUCUUUUUGUCGCUUAGCAUUUGUCAUGCUGUUGUGUUUUUUUUUUUAUUAUCUCCAAUCUAUCAACCAUAGACCAGAUGACAUAUUAUCUGAAAGUACCUGUAUUUAUGGGUACCAAUUUUACAGGGUUUUAGCAAUUAACAUGUUUGUAUGCUCGUAGGUAUGUAAAUUCGAAGUUUUGAUUUUUCCGAAAAAAAAGUCGAAUGACGAAUGUGAAGACUAUGGAAACGACUAGUAUUAUAUGUUGCUUUAUGAUUAGUUGUCGGACAUUGCAAAAUAGGUGUUUAUUCCACUCACUUGUUCAUUCUUCAUUUCUAACAAAAUUCGUAAAAUAGUUUUGAUAAAAUAAACGAAUUUGGAAGUAAGACUCGGACUUCUUUUAAACUGAUUUAAACUGUGCGUAUUGCUGUGUUUUUGUCUUUUUUCUUCAUUGGAUAGAGGUAUAGGGAGAGGGUUGAGAUUUAAAAAAAAAUGUUUAAACCCGCCGCAUUUUUGCGCUUGUCUCAAGUCGGGAUCAUUGGCCUAUUGUUAGGCUUGUGUGAUUUUUAAUUUUAGUUUCGUUUAUAUAUUUCGGAGUUGAGUAUGACGUCCAUUAUCACUGAACUAGUACAUAUUUUUGUUUAUGGGUGACCUUAAAAUAACACCUCCUGGUGCGGAAUUUUCGCACUGUAUUGAAGAACCCUAGGUGGCCCUCGGCUGUUUUCCGCAUUUGAUCGGGUUAUUGUCUCUUUGACCCAUUUCAAUUUCUAUAAUUUUAUGAGGUAUCUAUGCUUACACAUUGUGACAUUAGAAGGAAAAAUCCAAAUUGAACAUUUUAAUUGUUGCACACGUGAAAUCAUAAGUUUUGAUACUUAUUCACUUUUGAUCAAAUAUUAACAGAAUUACGAUCAUGACGAUAUCAAAGGUAUUAAUAAGGUAUUAAACAUAUGGCUUAUUCACCCUUUUCGUAAAUCCACACAUUAUGUUCCUGUUUACUAACUACUUGCUUUCAUCCUUAAUAUCAAAUUUUUGUUAGCAUUCGUUCAUUGAUCAUGUAUAAAAUUAAAAAUAAUAAACACCUGGUUUGUUGAUGUCUUAGAUAAAAGAAAACCAGGAUGCGUGCCCGGAAAUAUAUUCAGGGAAGCAUUUAAUUUGACCUCAUGUCACAGUUGAUCCACAAAUUGUAGUAUCAGAAUGUAGAUAACUUCAUUUCACAUUCUCAUACCGGUGACCUAUAGUUGAUAAUGUCUGUGUUCUUUUGGUCUUUUGUGGAUAGUUGUCUCAUUGGCAAUCAUACCACAUCUUCUUUUUUAUAUAAGUUUGUACUCAACAAUCCAAAUAAAAGCCGACAAAUGAUUAUCGCCACUAGAUGUAUAUCUUUUUCAAUUUUAUUGAUAAUGCCUGCUGUUCGUUUUACUCUUUCGGUUAUACCAGGGAGGCUCAUAUAACCUCCAUGGUGUAUACCUACCAUUUUCGUAUAAGAAGUUAUCUGACGACAGUGGCUAUCUGCACUAAUUGUCGAUUUUGUUUUCUUUGGUCAUAUUUGCGUCCAAUUUUUUUAAUUGUUUUUGUAUCUGUGUAUUUUUGUUACAUAAUAGCGAAAGCUAGACACAAAACUCGGGUCGUUUUAGACAGUUGGCACCUUUUAAUCAUUUUGUAAAAUUCGACCCUUGUAACAAAGACUUUCUAGAUAUCAACGAUUAUGAUUGUUGUAAACAAUCACUUAUAAGAUACUGGUGGAGCAUGAACUGCCUAUUCUUUGGAUGAACCUGAUAUCAUAUACGGUUUUAACUGAGACAUUGUUAUUUUCAUAAGUUUGAAUGUACCUUUGAUAUUUGUGGCUCUUUUUUUAAGACGAAUGACUGCGACUGUUACACUUCCCCUUAUAUUCUUUGUUAGUCGAAAAGAAAUAAGGUACAGCGUAUCUAUAAUACUAAAAUUACGAGGUCCAAUUUGUCAGCCGUCAUCACGUAAAAACGACGAAUCAAAGAAUUCAACUUUAUAUAUAACUAAAUAUAACAAAGGUGUAGAUUUAAAAUUACACCACUCCAGGC